rnacentral:rRNA from 1 species
CCAGACUCCUACGGAGGCAGCAGUGGGGAAUAUUGGGCAAUGGGCGCAAGCCUGACCCAGCAACGCCGCGUGAAGGAAGAAGGCUUUCGGGUUGUAAACUUCUUUUAAGAGGGAAGAGCAGAAGACGGUACCUCUUGAAUAAGCCACGGCUAACUACGUGCCAGCAGCCGCGGUAAUACGUAGGUGGCAAGCGUUGUCCGGAUUUACUGGGUGUAAAGGGCGUGUAGCCGGGCUGACAAGUCAGAUGUGAAAUUCCGGGGCUCAACCCCGGACCUGCAUUUGAAACUGUUGGUCUUGAGUAUCGGAGAGGCAGGCGGAAUUCCUAGUGUAGCGGUGAAAUGCGUAGAUAUUAGGAGGAACACCAGUGGCGAAGGCGACUAUCUGGCACAUAACUGACGCUGAGGAGCGAAAGCGUGGGUAGCAAACAGGAUUAGAUACCCCCGUAUG